UCAACACGCGAGAGGACGCCAUAUUGAGUGAAGUGUUGACUGAUGCGGUGCAGGUGUUUACGCGGUAGUUAAUACAAUUUGUAGAAAAUUAAAAAGAACGUAUCAGUUGUAUUUUUAACCGGGAAAUAAAUUCGGUUGAUAUUUUAUUGCGUUAUUGUUCUAUUAGAUUAAUUGUAAUAAUGAGCGGUAGUGACGUCAAGGAAGAACACUGUGAAAGAGCUAAAGAAGGAAACGUUGCAUCAAUGAACGAAGAUACUCUUACAAAUUCCAAUUGUACGCACAAAGAUCCCCAAUGUUUUUUUAAUAAUGAUUAUAUGCAAUUGGGGGCUGAUAUACCAGGUAAUAUCAAUGGGGUAGAGGAAGAGGAGGAGGUGAUGGAGGAGGAGGAAGAAGAGGAAACGAUUACAUCUACCAAUGUAACUGAUUACGUUCCUGUUAUGAACAUGAAUAUUAACGAGAGCGAAGUCGAUACUUCAGAUAGCGAGACGGUGUAUUCUGAGAAUAUGGAAUCUUCUAUCGUAUCAACCAACCCCGAUAUAUCCUCUCAUAAUAUUUCUAAUAAAUCUCUAUCGGUUCAUCAUAGUCCUUCGAGAGGAAUUAGAGAAUCUUGCUCGUGUGAUGUUUAUAAGGCUAACAGAGAUAUAUCUCGCGAAGAGGUGCAAGCUGCUAUGAAAUUUCAAAAGCUUUGGUCACAUUUGAGGCAGCAAAUAAGAGCUAUUUUUAAAAACGCGUUGGAAGUAUCUCGUUCCUCCGAUUCUUUAGAAUCCCAACAAGAAAUGUUAUCUGUGAUUGAUAUGCAUGAUACGGUGACUCAAUUGUGCGUAAAGGAUCCUUAUCAAUUAUUUAUGAGGUUAGUGGGUCAGGCACAAGAGUUUGUUAUAGAAGUUAAAGUUCGCCUAUUGGCACUUCUAGAUGACCGUAGUGUGAUUAAUUUAGCUGAAAUUUUUCUUAACGGGCUUUUGGAUGACUAUGAUGCGUUAAUGACCACUGCUUUUAAAAUUUCUAUUAUAGUUAAACCGUUAAAAAACUAUCUCUAUAAAUUUAACUUAACGUGGGAUUGUUUUAUUAAGAAGUUGUAUCAAAUUUAUGUUUAUAAUAAUCCAUUGGUACAAAAUAAUUUGCCUCCUUUUCUUGUACAGUUAAGGAAAGUUUUGCUAUUGAAAGGUUUAGAAUAUCAGGGACUAAUUCGUAGGUAUUUGUCAUUUGAUGACGAAAUGAUUACGAUUCGUAACUUGUGGCCCGAGAUAGAGCCAUGGAUGGCUAAAUAUAAUGCUGAACAAGCAGUACAAAUGACACAACUCAAGCAACUUAAAAAAGGUCGGGGAUUAUUCACAACUAUUAAUAGGAUUGUGGAAAUGCGAAACAUAAUGAAAUUAUCGGAUGGUGGAAAAGAAUUGCAAGAAAUCGAUGGGCAAAUAACUGCACUUAUCGAACAAGGGAAAUUGAAUACAUCUGGUAUAGAUGGUAGAUCCUUGAGUCCUACUUCAGAUCUUACCUUAGAUUCGCAUAAUAUUUUUCAAUGUCUCGAGAUAGUUCAAAUUUUGUUGGGUGACUGGAGCGAAGCUCGUCAAAAAAAAUUACAUGAUAUUGCAAUGGAAUUUACCGGGGGACAAUUAAUUCCUAAUAAAAGUGAUACUGACUCUUUGGCUUACGCGCAUACAUCAAAUCACUUAGAACAAUUUGCGAUUAAAAGAGUCAGGAGUCACGAUAAAGAUAUAUCUAUAGAAGAUAGUAUUGAGGAAGAAGAAAAUGAUUGUGAAUGUCAAGAAUGUACAAUGCCUUUAACAUCUUCAUUGAGUGAAAAUGGUCACGUUGGAAAUGUUGAAUCAUCAACGGAUAAUGUAAAUUUUUUCCCCAUCAUCGCUAAUGGAUUGAUGAAGCAUAUUAUUAACUUUAGUGCUACUAAUAAUACUAAUACUGAAAUUCAGUUAAAAAAAUUAUUGGAAGAGAUCAAAGAUACGAUUGAUCUUAAAGAAGAUAAAGAUAUUAUUUUAAAGAACGUAGAGGAAAAUAUAGUAGAUACGCAGACAUCUAUUCCACAACCAUGUCAAUGCGUUUAUUUACAUGCGAAAGAAAUAGCUGAAAGGAAGAAAGAAACUAUAGAAGAUCCUCCUUGUCCUUGUAUUUUAAAUUCAAAACGAAAAUGGGAUAUUUGCCCGUGUUUAACAACAAUUUUAGAGGAGCAUGCUGUUAAUAAUACUAACGUUCAUCCUAAGGAAAUGUCCAAUCCAGUUGCAGUUAAUUGUAAUCAAGAGUUAACUAAACCUGUUAUAAAAACAGGAUCAACACAAUCGACGCAAACACAAACAAGGCAUUCCACGACACAAACAUCUAAUUCAAAUCAUAAUCGCAUAACAUUUCCAAGUACCACUACUACCACUACCACUACAACUACUACCACAACCCAUCCGCAUACUCAUAGAUCUGCUUCGGAUAUAACAAAAAGUACAGCGUCUUCGCACAAACUUCAUAAUCACAACAAUCAUAACUCACAUGCUUGUCAUAAACAAACAAAUGUUGAGCAGAUCAAAAGGGUAUCAUGCAACGAUUUAAGUUCGGGAGAUGGUGAUUGUUCUGAUUCUGCAAGUAGUCAAGAAGAUUCUUCCUCGACUAGUAGCUCAGCGCAAAGAGGAGAUUCUAGUAGACAUUGUGAUUGUUGUUAUUGCGAAGUUUUUGGACAUGGAGUUCCUUCUGUAGCACCAGUUAGUAGAAAUUAUAAUGAAAUGAGAGAACGAUUAAGACAAAUAUUAACAAAGAAAAAAGCUAAAAAAUGUAAAGCUACUUAUAACACUCCAAAAAGUAUGGUGGAUGUAGCAUUGCCACUUUCCAACGUCAAUCAAGAAAAUAAACCAAUUAUAAACAAUUUGACAUUAAGAUCUAAUACUUCGGUUCCAAGAACAUGUCCUAAAGAUUUGAGGGAUCAAAGAAAUUUAGAAGAAUUGUUGGACUUUAUCGAAGGUAAUCAAAAUGGGAAAAAGGAUAAUAACAAGAAAGCCGAGAAAAAGGCUAGGCAGAAGCAACGUAAGUUGCAAGAGAAAAUCAAGAAGGAAAGGCAAGAAGUAGAAAAGCAGAGAUUAAUCGAAUUGCAAAAGAAAACACCAGAAGUAACAAUCACAGUUGUUGAUUCGCAAAAACCUGUAAGUCAAAGAUUUUUACCGCAGUGUAAUCUUCCCGAAGUAUCAAUUUUGCCUACUAAUAAUCCAGGCACUUUACCAAAUGGAAAACAUUUAACAAAUAAGAAAAAGGACAAGCAAGAAAUGUGCAAUAUUAAUAUGACUAAUUGCAUUAAUAACAAAGUUAGGAUGGCACCUUCCGUAAUUGCAAAUUUAAAAAUGAAAAGUAUGUUGAAUAUAGGUAACAAAUUAGAACAAAUGAAUUCUAAUCAUCAUCACCAUCAACAACAGCAACAACAUCAUCAAACAAAUAAGGUGGACAUAAAAAAUGAAAAAAUUGAAUUUAGUAAUAAAGCUUUUAAAGGAACAACAAAUGUUAAUACAAUAAAUACAAAAGAUAAUGCCAAUAAUCUAGCUGAUAAAUUAGCAGCAAUGGAUUUAGUAGACAAACAAUUGACUAAGAAAGAAAGGAAAAAAUUACGACGAGAAAUUAGAAAGCAAGAAUUAGCUAAAGUGAAUGCAACGGUUGAGUCAGAACCUGUUAAAAAUAAACCACAAAUAGUUACGAUUAAAAGAAUAAUGGAAUCGAAUAGUGCAGAACCGACAGUAACGAUAACGUUAAAAGGACAAACUCCUGCAGAGGAUAAAGUUUUAUUUACUUUAGUGAAUGGACAAACGAAGGAAGUACCUUUGCAUAAAUCUGACCAAGAACAAAAUGUAUGUAAUAAUAGUAAUAAUAAUAAUAGUAAUAGUAAAAAGAAAAAGAAUAAAGGAUCUAAUAAUACAGAAACGAUACAAAGUAACAAAUUUCAACAAACGAAUACAAAACAACAACAGCAAGUUAAAGUGUGUGACGCAAAGCAUACAAAGUAUCAAAGUAACAACGAAAAGAUAAAAGCUAUUAAACAAAAUGAUGAAAGAAAAACUCAACAGCAAAGCGUUAAUGAAGUUAAAAGUAUGAAAUCUAAGAAAGAUAAAAAGAAUUCUGAAACCAAAGAAAAUGUCAUGCAACAGCAGCAGCAACAACAACAGAAUAUAUCCAGUAAAAGUAAAAAUUUACAACAAAAUACUCAAUCUAAGAAAGCAAAUAAAUCUAAUAAUGUAUUGCAAACGGAUAUGUAUAAAUCUAACGUUACUUUAGAACCAGUUGCAAAGACAAAGAAUCAACAAGAAAAAUCUAACGACGGGAAUAGUAAUAAAAAUAAGAAACUUGUAAAUAUAACUAAUACAAAUAAACCAGUAAAGAAUGAUCAACAGAAGGUUCAAAUUAAGGGAAAUAAUAAUAAUAGCAGUAAUAUGAUCAAACAAGGAUCAUUCUCAACGAUACCUUCUACGUCGGAUGAUGUUAUAAAUAUGACACUGAGUUCACAGUUUCGAGACAUUAGUCUAAAUUCGAAAAUUAAUAUAGAAAAUCUUAAAUUACCACCCGGUAUUACGAUAACAAAAGUUGACGGUCCUAUUAAGCCAUUUCCAUUAAAAUCAACAACUUUGCCUAAGCCAGUUACUCCUCCAAAACAAACAACUAUCAUAGCUGCUCCGAUGAGCGGAGUUCAAUCUAGUUAUGCCAGUCCUCAAGCUGGUGGUAACGUCAUUGUAGUAGACACUGGAAAACUUAAACAAGAUCUUCUUCCAAAACCAAAUGAAAUAGAACUAUCAAGAGAUAUUCGUCCAAAUCAAACUAUAACGGGGAAGAAGAAGAAAAAGAAAAAUAAGAACUCUACGAAUGCGAGCAAUUUGAUACAGAAUGCAAUUAAGAGUACAGAGUGUUCUACUAAUAGCGAGAAUAUGGAAGAUUCUGCAAGAAUUCUUCACAAUCCUAAUACAAACAUGGUGACGAUAAGGAAUCCUGCGUUUGGUCCGAUGAAAGUCCCACCAACGCAACAAGCAGCUAUAAUAAAAGUUUCUGAAAAUGGUAUGGUCACUAUAAGAAGUCCAGCACUUCAACAAGCAAUCAAUGCGGGUUUGGCAACACCUUCCAAACCAGAUUACAUAGUGAAAGGUGAUGUAUCAUCAAAUGCCGCGACUUUGGAUACAAUAAACAUAAACGUAAAACGUAAUAAAAAUGAAAUGAUAUCAAGUAGUCUUGCCGAAUUGCGAUCAAGAUUAACGCCAGAUUGUCCCAGUUUGGCUGGCCUCGCGAACAUUCAAAUAAGCAAAGUGGCCAAAGGUCAACCUAUUCCAGAGAAUGGGAUUAAUCUGAAAGGUACUAGCGUAACGUUAACUAAAGUGAGAACGGAUACAAAUCUUGAAGACGUUCAUCAAACCAAAGCUGCUGCAGUAAGAGAUGCUAUCAACGCUUCUAUAACAGCUUCCUCGACUAGCGGCAAGGGAAAGAAAAAGAAAAAGCGUGGAAACUGUACGAGGCAGUGCGGAGAUGACUGGAACCUCGUUGGAGGGGGCAGUGUACCGCGUUAGGAUGACGGUCUCGGCUAGGUCGAAAGAUUUUUCAGAUACCGGAUUACCUCGAGAUGUCCUCAAAUUGGCCUCCACAAAUAUCUUGGGGAUUGUUCGGAAGACACUCCGGCCGAUAAGAGCGUAUUCACACCUAAAGAUAUAGACCUUGAGGAUGGGGAGAUGGAUGACGCAGAACGUGAAUUAGAAGCAUUCAAGAGGUUCUGUCUUCAAUCUGUACCACCCCCACGAAAGGAGAAGGUCAAUCUCAACUUAAAGGACAUCGUUCUUAAGAAGAAAUCCUCAUCCUCUGCGACAGCUGCUGUUAUUGCUGCUAAUUGAUUUGUUCGUUAGUUUUAAUUACCACGAAAAAGAAAGAAAGAAAGGAAAGAAGCGUGAUUAUAAUUAUACAUAUAAUGUAUGAAAAAAUACUGCCAGAACAAAAAUAAUUGACACGUUUGAAAAUGCGUGUGAAUAAUAUGUGUACGUAAAAAAGCGUUGUUUCUUGCUAAAUAAUAAUGCGAUUGAACAACGUUAAUAAUUAAAUGAUUAUUCGUUGAUUUAACGACAAUGGACAUCGUCAUCUUUGCCGUUGUUGUUGUCUCAGUCAUUAUAAUUAUCAUCAUUAUCAUUAUUGUUAUAUGAUCAUUGUCAUCUUAUUGACGCUAAGUCAACUUCGUAUUUUCAAACAAGAUACAUGAAUGUAAUGAUAUUAAUAUAUUUAAGACGGUUUAAAGAAUACGGAUAGACGAUUAGAUGAUGAAGAAGUAGACAAAUAGAUAAUUAGAUAGAUAGAUAGAUAGUUAGUUAGGCAAGUAGAUAGAUAAUUAGAAGUGAGUGAGAGAGAAAGAGAGAGCGAACGAGUGAAAUAAAAAAAAAAAAGGAACAAAAGAAUUAGUGCGAAUGAGAGGAAAGAGAUAUGUUGUUGAUAUAUAUAUAUAUAUAUAUAUAAAAAAAAAUUAAGAGAAAGAAGAAGAAGAAGAAGAAGAAGAAUAAUAAAAAAUAAUUUAGCUAAUGAUUUGAUCGAGUGGUAAGACCGACGAUUAUUUGUACAACAAUGUGACAUAAAAAGUGUACAUUGUAUGUAUGUAUGUAUGUAUGUUUGCUUGCAGUAUGUAAUUUACGUAUGUAGUUACUAAUUGCAUACGUAUGUUAUAACGUGUAUAUGCACGCGUGUGUGUAUGUAUAUACAUAUAUAUAUAUAUAAUUUAAGUAUAAUAAUAGUAGAAAUUAAUUUUUCUGCCAAGACUGUCACGUACCUAAAGUGAUUCUACACUGAUGAACGGUGUACCGUAAUAAUGUCAACAUUUAAAAGAAAUAUACGUUCUUGCCAUAUCACGAAAAUUAAUGGACGAUUUAAUCGCUAUUAGUAAUCGGAUGUUUUUGUCAAAUGCACGACAAAACUUAAGCAAGUUCGAAAAUACAGACACACGAUGAACAAUCCUGUUCCAUGGGACGGUGCGCGCGCGCGCGUGUAAUUCACUGCGUUAAUGUGAACACGCGACGAAGAAAAACACACACACACACAUAUAUAUAUAUACGUAUUCUUUUUUUCAAUAAAAGAAACAAACGCGAA
rnacentral:misc_RNA from 1 species